GUAGGAUGCAAGCGUUAUCCAGAUUCAUUGGGUUUAAAGGGUGCGUAGGCGGACUAUUAAGUCAGUGGUGAAAUCCUGCAGCUUAACUGCAGAACUGCCGUUGAUACUGAUAGUCUUGAGUUUGGUUAAGGUAGGCGGGAUGUGUAAUGUAGCGGUGAAAUGCUUAGAUAUUACACAGAACACCGAUUGCGUAGGCAGCUUACUGAGCCGACACUGACGCUGAGGCACGAAAGCGUGGGGAUCGAACAGGAUAAGAUACCCUGGUAGUCCACGCCGUAAAUCGAUGAUUACUCGCUGUUGGCGAUACACUGUCAGCGGCUAAGCAAAAGCAAUAAGUAAUCCACCUGGGGAGUACGGCCGCAAGGCUG
rnacentral:rRNA from 1 species